GCAGGGAAUCUUGCGCAAUGGGCGAAAGCCUGACGCAGCGACGCCGCGUGGGGGAAGAAUGCCUUCGGGUUGUAAACCCCUUUUCUGGGGGAAGAGAAUGGACGGUACCCCAGGAAUAAGCCUCGGCUAACUACGUGCCAGCAGCCGCGGUAAUACGUAGGAGGCAAGCGUUGUCCGGAUUUACUGGGCGUAAAGGGCGUGUAGGCGGUUCAGGAAGUCCCUGGUGAAAUCUCCCAGCUCAACUGGGAUAGGUCUGAGGAUACUCCUGAACUUGAGGGCAGUAGAGGAGAGUGGAAUUCCCGGUGGAGUGGUGAAAUGCGUAGAUAUCGGGAGGAACACCCGUGGCGAAGGCGGCUCUCUGGGCUGUCCCUGACGCUGAGGCGCGAAAGCGUGGGGAGCAAACCGG
rnacentral:rRNA from 1 species